CAGUCGCCACGGUAAUACGUAGGGUGCGAGCGUUAAUCGGAAUUACUGGGCGUAAAGCGAGCGCAGACGGUUAUUUAAGCAGGAUGUGAAAUCCCCGGGCUUAACCUGGGAACUGCGUUCUGAACUGGAUAGCUAGAGUGUGUCAGAGGGGGGUAGAAUUCCACGUGUAGCAGUGAAAUGCGUAGAGAUGUGGAGGAAUACCGAUGGCGAAGGCAGCCUCCUGGGAUAACACUGACGUUCAUGCUCGAAAGCGUGGGUAGCAAACAGGAUUAGAUACCCCAGUAGUCCCUGUCUCUUAUAC
rnacentral:rRNA from 1 species